rnacentral:rRNA from 1 species
UACGUGAGGUGCAAGCGUUAAUCGGAAUUACUGGGCGUAAAAGCGUGCGCAGGCGGUUGUGCGAAGAACCGACUGUGAAAUCCCCGGGACUUAACCUGGGAAGUGCAUUGGUGACUGCUACGGCUAGAGUGUGUCAGAGGGGGGUAGAAUUCCAACGUGUAGCAGUGAAAUGCGUAGAGAUGUGGAGGAAUACCGAUGGCGAAGGCAGCCCCCUGGGAUAACACUGACGCUCAUGCACGAAAGCGUGGGGAGCAAACAGG